CCUACGGGGGGCAGCAGUGAGGAAUAUUGGUCAAUGGACGAGAGUCUGAACCAGCCAAGUAGCGUGAAGGAUGACUGCCCUAUGGGUUGUAAACUUCUUUUAUAUGGGAAUAAAAUGUUCCACGUGUGGGAUUUUGUAUGUACCAUAUGAAUAAGGAUCGGCUAACUCGGUGCCAGCAGCCGCGGUAAUACGGAGGAUCCGAGCGUUAUCCGGAUUUAUUGGGUUUAAAGGGAGCGUAGGUGGAUUGUUAAGUCAGUUGUGAAAGUUUGCGGCUCAACCGUAAAAUUGCAGUUGAAACUGGCAGUCUUGAGUACAGUAGAGGUGGGCGGAAUUCGUGGUGUAGCGGUGAAAUGCUUAGAUAUCACGAAGAACUCCGAUUGCGAAGGCAGUUCACUGGACUGCAACUGACACUGAGGCUCGAAAGUGUGGGUAUCAAACAGGAUUAGAUACCCUUGUAGUC
rnacentral:rRNA from 1 species